UUUUAACAAAUAUUUAAAAGACCGUCAUUAUGCACAAACUUUGAUCAUUUUUUGCAGGGAGCACGCAGGAGACAGAAAAGCAAUCAAAUUGGAGAGGCAAGUGCACUUAACAAUACUUAGAGGUUGAGGUUUUAUUAGUCUAUUUGCUAACUGAGUGGCAAUCGCCGAGGAAUAGCAGCUAAAAACUGUGCUGAGCUGUACAAAUCCGGUCGAAGGAUCAGUGGUGUUUACACAAUCGACCCAGAUGGUUUAGGCGCCUUUAAUGUAUAUUGUGACCAUACAACAGCUGGUGGGGGAUGGACAGUGAUCCAGAAGAGAAUGGAUGGCUUUGUUGAUUUUAAUCGCACCUGGAAUUACUACAAACAUGGUUUCAGUAACUUAGUCGGUGAAUUUUGGCUCGGACUGGACAAGAUAAACCGUCUGACGCAAGACAAGACAAAGAACAUGCUUCGAGUAGAUCUGGGAGUAAUCACUGGCAAAACUGUUAACGCCGAAUAUAGCUGGUUCGGGAUUGGGACCAAGUACCGGGACUAAGUAUCGGCUGUAUAUUGGCAAUAUCACAAGUAACUAAACCGUUUUUCUUUUUAAGCAUUCAUUGUUCGAUUUUUAUAUGUUACUUUCCUAUCGACUUCUACUGCCCCAUUCCCACUAAAGCUUGAAGCUGUUUUGUCAAACAAGAUUUAAAAUUGGUUUCUUCAUAGACGCUGCUUAAACUGAUGUUUGUCGACUUUAAAUUUAGCAAAUCAAAAAUACAAAUGCGACUGUUUCCUCUGAUUAUCUCAAUCCUCAAGAAGAUCUCAAAUUUGGUACCUGGGAUAGAGAUCCUGCUAAUUGUGCUCAAAAAAGAGGCGGAGGCUGGUGGUUAGCAUAAUCAUAAAAUUUGAGUAUUUAUUAUUUUGCCACAUAUUUUUGUACUUGGAUAUCUGGCCUACUUCGUCGAUUGGCGUAGCUAUCAAGUUUGAGGUGUUAUCUUAAUCCUAAUAUUAUGGAAUUUUGGUAUUAAUUAUUAGUAUUUUUUAAGCAGAUGCAACUGUUUCCUUGAUUCCCUCAAUCCUCACAAAGAUCUCAUUUUUGAUACUUGGGAUAGAGAUCCAGCUUAUUGUGCUCAAAAAAGAGGCGGAGGCUGGUGGUACGGCAACAGUAGUGCUUGUGCUGUUUGGUCGAAUCUCAACGGAAUGUAUCCACAUUAUUGAAAGGAAACCUGGGCUAAUGUCCAUUGGGGAAAAUUAGAAAUGAAAUGAAAAUUAGACCAGUGGAAUUUUUUGAAAUUUUGUAAACUUUCUAACGGUAAAGUGUGCAAGUAAACAGUGAUUUCUGCGUCUUCUGAUCGGUUGACUUCGUGUUUAUCGCAACUGUGAUUUUCAGAUUAAUGAUCGAGUGGCCUUGCUUAAAUUAUUCUAAUGAAUUCCACCGAGGAACACCAUGGUUAACUGUUUCCCUCGCGACCAGGCAUCAAGUUCAAUAAUUUGCAUACAUGGUGAUGUUGGUCUUUUCUUACGAACUAUUCAUUGUUGAUUUGAAAACGCUAUAAUUUAAAACAUUAUUUCGCUUGUUGUCGAAAU
rnacentral:lncRNA from 1 species